UAGCUCAGUGGUAGAGCACUUGUCUGGCAAGUAGGAAGUCCUGGGUUCAGUUCCCAG
rnacentral:tRNA from 1 species